GUCUCUGUAGUGCAAUGAUAGAUAGCACGUUGGACUUCUAAUCCAAAGGCCGUGGGUUCGAAUCCCACUUGGGAUG